rnacentral:rRNA from 1 species
GAUUUGUCGGAGGAGGAGGAGGGAGGAGGAGGCGCGGAGAGGUCCGGAGGAGGGGUAGGUAGGUACGGGCGCGGCGAGCACCGGAGCGCCUAACCUAAGCUAACGUACAGAUCUAGACCGGGGCAAACGAAAAGACCGGCGCGCGAUCCGGCACACCUAGACGACACCUCGUCAUGCGCGAAGCAAGCUCUUAACCGACGCACACAAGGACACCUCCAAAUAGAUCUAAGUAUACCAAAGGCGCCCACGACUUUACCAGCGUACGCCCGAUACAGCAGGAAAACAAAAAGAAAUUAAGCAAAGCACGCGACGAUUACCGCCCCCCAGAGCGGCCAGGUUUAACACUCGUUUGCCGCCCCUCAAAGCGCUCAGGUUUAAUACUCAUCAUGGAGACAACAAAACAGACCCUCCUACUAAGUAAGAAAAACGGCAUCCUUCGUCGACGAUGACUCAGUAUGGAACCACCUACUGAACACAAAACGUAUCCCCAACCAAAUCAGUACACUCUACACCGCUCAAAUCCGGAACAAACCGACGUUUGUACUACUGAUAGCGUCGGUAAACGUUGUCUACUAUUACAAGUCAACAAGUGUAGUCCCCAUCUCCUCGUACACUUCCCUGGUGUCAGUGAUUAAUUGUACAAAUAUCGUCAUUUAUAUAAGACAUUAAAAUAGCUGGGGAUCUUCAGCAUUAAGACGCCUUACGCCACCGUGAAUAGGGACCUCUACACUACCAAGACACUUGUGUUGUAAGAACUAAUAGUAAACGUAUCGGUUACAAACUACUAAACCAACAAAUGUGCUCGGAUGGAUCCAUGGUAGGUAAUCCAACGAUAUAUAGUCGGGAAUAACGAGUUGUCAAAACCGAUACCGAUACCGGAAAAAUCGAACAAGGGUCCUUGUUGUACAUAAGUGUAAACAUAUAUUCUUCGAUGAAUCCCACCACAAAUAAAAAAUGUUGCAUACACGACCACAGAGACUUAAAGGGUUAGUCCCGGAACAGGAUAUUGAAAUUAGAACAAAAGACAAUACUAACAAAUCGCUUAACUUACCGGAUGAAAGUACUAAAAGGACCGAAAGAUGUCGAGGUGAGAAGAUAACUAAAGAAAGUAGUACUAUAUAAACUAUGAGGGAGGCAAGGUUUUAUAACGCUCGUAGAUAGAGCUACACCUGUUAUAUGAAGUUAAUAAAUGACAACCUGUGAAAUGAAAAGUUCUCUAGUGUCAAGGAACCCGUUUAAAUGGUAGAAGGUCUGUUAAACGAGAUGAACUUUAGAUGUAUAUUUAAACGUCAUUACUAAAAAUCUAGAGAAGACCUAUUACAUGUAUUAGUUUCACUUUAAUACGUUCUAAAAAGUCGGAAUAAGGUCGAAAGGUUAACAAGACUAAAUUGAUGUAAUCUAGACUGUACUAAAAUAAACUAGUUAACAAGGUUUAACUGUCCGAAAACCCAAGGUAGUCUAUUAGAAAGUAUCCUACCCGCUUGGUUUACCGUUACUUUUACGGUACCACGUACUUUCACUUUACCAACAACCACUACUCUACUAGGUACCGUUACUUUACCAAGUGUCACCGCUCUACUAGGUACUCGUACUAUACCAAGUUCCCUUACUCUACCAAGUACCACUGCUGUACCACCUACCCUCACCCUACCAGGUACUACUACUCUACUAGGUACCAUUACUCUACUAAGUUCAAUCACUGUACUAGGUACCAGUACUUUACCAAGUUCACUUACUGUACCAGUUACCACUACUCUACCGGGUACCAGUGCUUAACCAGUCACGACUCCACUGGGGUGGUUGGUAUAGUUCUGCGGCCUCUUUCUUCAGUAAUCAUACCCUCGUGAAAUGGUAACUUGGACAAGGACCCCUCUCCCCUACGGUUGCACGUACGACGUUGGAUACAUUCCGUUGGAAACGUAUGUCAAGACCGUGUUUUUAACGUCCAUGAUCGGUAGAGUUCUCCGUGUAGUGCGAACCGAGAACGGGAUACUAUUUUUUGGUUCUCUCCUUCGACCGCUACUCAAGUCAACCUCCUCACUGACUAUUGCUACCACUCCCAUGGCAUCUUGCAGGAAGAUUCUCCGCAAUGUCUAUAUGACCGAAACGUUUACGAUGUAAACUAGUUCUGGCAUCGUCGAGUGUAGACCGUUUCGAAUAGUAAAACGUACUGAUGGGUGAAGUACAACAAGUUGUCGGUCGGAAGUGACGAAAAUGACUCUCGGACGUCGGCGCAAAGUCCCAACGCCUACAACUUUGUUACCUCCGUCUCCACAUACCACAAAUGGUCUUUCUUUUUUUGUUGGAUUACGUUCGUAACUUGUGAUACGGACCUUCCUAAUCGGAGUGGUAUCCUAACACCUGUUGAUCAGUCUGAGAACCGAUACAAAGAUAACGACCCGUCAAGUAACUGUGCCUAACCUUUCACGUAGCUUCUUACGAAUUGAAGUACUACCACAGAAGAGGAGUAAGCCUCUUACGUGAAUCACUUCGAUAAUCGAGCUCGGAAUGGCUGACCUUGUACUUCCUGUUCGAUAAGUGGCAGUGUAACCUAUUACUAACGAGUAGUGUACUAUAGAUGUCACGUUUGGACUCUCUAGUAGAGAGGUCAUUCUUGUUGGACUACGAAUUCCCGGUAGACAAACAACACUCCACGAUACGGUUAUAGGAGUUACGUCAACGUGUACUACAGUAACGAAGUUAGGUACCACACUAGAUGUCAUAGGCACUUUCAUAUUUCAAGUAUUUUCGAAGAAGACGGGCACUCGUCUUCAAACGACUCUAACGAGACGUCGACCUCUAAGGGUCGUGAUUCUGGGACACGGAACUACAAUGUUGUGUCACCUUAUGGUGAAUGGAAUACGACGAACGACGGAACCUAAUAUCCGUCCGUAAGUGGUGUAACCUCUGUACACUACUAUUGAUGUUACUCAGCGGAAGACGUCUUCUGACCUUCUUCAACCUUCGACGGACGUUGAUAAACUUUAAAGACAUACUAAGACGUGUAUCGUAGUACCGACGCCGUUUAGGUUGAAGAUUGAAUAAAAAGGUACUCCGCACCUUUGAAGUCGACCUUGACAGUUUACGGUAUUGGGUACUUCUAGGUCAAAAGUCAUCGUAGCGGUUUCUUUACGUACUCUCCAAACUGUUCAUGACCUUCCUAACGUUGGAACAAGAUCGGUAACCACAACAGUACCUGGGAGCAAAGUUCUACUUUGAACAUCUUAAGUCAAUAAGAUUUUAGAUACCACACCUCCGUCGUUUCAUACAAUUCCACCACCUACUACGAGAAGUACUGGAAAUGUUCCUAAUACAACGUGUCGGGGACGGGGACUGCGGUCGGAUACCGCGUGGUCCCCUUCAAUUAUUUUUACCCGGACGGUUACGCUUAUUGUUGCGUCAUUGAGGUGGAAGAUGACCCCUACCUGAGGAACUGAAACUGUACAUAGAAAGUCUCUAUCGUUAUUCGGUCGGGAGGUUCAGACUCGACCUCGUCAUGGACCUUCUUCGGGACUGCGGAGCGUAGGUUCUGAAACUUUAGCACCUGACCACCUUCGAGUUGUGGGACUUCAAAGGUUGUGACCGCUUCUACCGGGCACUAUAGAACCGGUAGGGGUACAGGUACCACUCGUCGCCGACGAGGUAUAAACGUCGCCGUUGCUGUCCUUCGGCCUACGAACUACUGAUAUCUUCGAGUGACGCGGGACUUUAGCACCUCCGUGAAAAGACGAGGUUUCUGACCGAAGUCAUACGAGGCGGCGGAGGAGGUCUUCGCGUCCCAAGACAUCGCCACUUCUACCUCACUAACCAGGGAAUCAGGAAUCAACCAUCGGAAGUGUUCUUCCGACGAACCAACCACAACUCGAAUCAAACACGGAUCGCGAGAGCUAGUAUCUUACAAUGACUACUACAAGCUCGAUAGGUAAUCUACAUUACUCAUGAGAACUAAUAAGAACAGCUUAAGUCUAAGACUCGGGCACUGUAUGAACGUCCCACCACUCCAACAGCGGUCACUACGUGACAAACGUACAACAAGGCGGGCACACUAGCACCGGACAACCGACCGAGCAACAGUAGCAGACGACAACCGAACUAACACACGCAAAGGAAGACAG